rnacentral:rRNA from 1 species
UGAGCAAUCUGCCCUUCACAUCGGAUUAACCAUUGGAAACGAUGGCUAAUACCGAAUAUGACUUCGGAUCGCAUGAUCUGAAGUGGAAAGCUCCGGCGGUGAAGGAUGAGCUCGCGGCCUAUCAGCUUGUUGGUGAGGUAAUAGCUCACCAAGGCGACGACGGGUAGCCGGCCUGAGAGGGUGACCGGCCACACUGGGACUGAGACACGGCCCAGACUCCG